AGUUUGACCUGAACCUAAACAGGAGGACUCAAUUAGAUCCAGAUGGGGAGACUGUCUACAGUCACCAGGACUUCCCUGGUGGCACAGUGGAUAAGAAUCUGCCUGCCAGUGCAGGGGACACGGGUUCGAUCCCUGGAAGAUUCCACAUGCCGCUGAACAACUAAGCCUGGGCGCCACAGCUACUGAGCCCUUGCUCUGGAGCCCUCAAGUGCAGCUACUGAAGCCUGCUUGCCUAGAGCCUGUGCUCAGAAACAAGAGAAGCCACUGCUGUGAGAAGCCCUCACACAAUAACUAGAGAGCAGCCCCUAUUCUCCGGAACUAGAGAAAGCCCUCGCAGCAACGGAGACCCAGUGCAGCCAAAACUAAGUAAAUAAAAUAUAGCAGGGUGUACAUGUCAAAAAAAUAAAUGAAACCUUAAAAAAAAUAUUCACAGUUUUUAAAGACUCCUCAGUCCCAUGGUCUAUGGAGUGGCAUAGAGUCGGACACGACUAAGACGACUGAACCCCCGCAUACAAACAGUCACAAAUCUGACCAUUCUGCUCUUUUGCUGGGUCAUCAUUUUUGAGCAUCUGACAAUCAGCACCUGGGUCCCAAAAGACCAGCUUUCAGUAGCCCGUUGGCAAGUCGAAGUUGGCUAUUUACUUAACAUACUCUUUAUCAUGGUGCAAACAUCUUCUUAAUCACAGUUUCUAAAGUACGACUGAGCGACUUCACUUUCACUUUUCACUUUCCUGCAUUGGAAAAGGAAAUGGCAACCCACUCCAGUGUUCUUGCCUGGAGAAUCCCAGGGACGGGGGAGCCUGGUGGGCUGCCGUCUCAGGGGUUGCACAGUCGGACACGACUGAAGCGACUUAGCAGCAGCAGCAGCUUUCCCACUAGCGCCACCUAGGAAGCCUGAGUUGAUGAAUCAUCAUCAAAAAAACCCCAGAUGUCCAUAAGUUUUUCUGUGAUCAGACUGAUAUAAGUUUCAGGGUUUAGAGGCCUUUGCCUUCAGUCUAUUACUGAUUUUGUUCUGUAAACUCAGGAAUAAAAUCACCAUGAUGAGGAC
ensembl:lncRNA